AGGGAAUAUUGCGCAAUGGACGGAAGUCUGACGCAGCGACGCCGCGUGAGCGAUGAAGACCUUCGGGUCGUAAAGCUCUGUCCUUGGGGAAGAAGGUCUUCGGACUUGACGGUACCCAAGAAGAAAGCCCCGGCUAACUACGUGCCAGCAGCCGCGGUAAUACGUAGGGGGCGAGCGUUGUCCGGAAUUACUGGGCGUAAAGGGUGCGUAGGCGGCCCUUUAAGUCAGAUGUGAAAGGCCACGGCUUAACCGUGGGAUUGCACUUGAAACUGGAGGGCUUGAGUGUCGGAGAGGGUAGUGGAAUUCCCAGUGUAGCGGUGAAAUGCGUAGAUAUUGGGAGGAACACCAGUGGCGAAGGCGACUACCUGGACGAUAACUGACGCUGAGGCACGAAAGCUAGGGGAGCAAAC
rnacentral:rRNA from 1 species